UUCAUUUGAGAAGUAGUGGGGUCGGCAAAAAUUUUCACUUUCAAAAUCUAUUCCAAAUUCCAAUUUCAUCAUUUUGGAACUCUCUCUAUUGGAUUUCUACCUGCUUCCCCUCUCUCUCUCUUUUUCGGAUUUCCCUGUUCAUCAUCACCACCGUUUGGUUGCCCUUUCCUUCCACUCAACGCCGAAAUUGCUGGCACUUUUAAGUUAAUUCUUUGAUUUCCCUUUUCAGGACAAUGCAAAGAAACUUGACAAUGUUGCCUAGAGGUGCUGUUAAAGGAGUCUUGGUUCGACUCAUUUAGUCUUGGAAUGCAGAACAAAUGCAGUUCAAGGAGUCCAAUGCAGAAUAGGUGCUGCUGCUGAAGGAGUCCAAUCCGCUGGCUGGGGUUUUCAGAUUGAAGAAAGAGAUUUGGGAGGAUUAUUUUUCAAAUGUAAUUCUUUAUUAUUUGUUAGUUGUUUAGCAUAUCAGAUUAUGUGUAAUUGGAGACACUGAAUUUAGUUACUAUUUAAUCAAUGCAAAACGAAAGAAUCAAGGAGUACUACAAUCCAAAA